GCUGGGUGUGGUGGUGCAUGCCUGUAGUCCCAGCUACUUGGGAGGCUGAGGUGGGAGGAUCACUUGAGCCUGGGAGGUCGAGGCUGCAGUGAGCCGUGGUCAUGCCACUGCACUCCAGCCUGUGUGACAGAGUGAGACCCUGUCUCAA
rnacentral:SRP_RNA from 1 species